rnacentral:tRNA from 1 species
UGUGGUAUAGUAGCUAUUACAUCUGCUUCACACACAGAAGGUUGUGAGUUCAAACCUUGCCA